GACGAACGCUGGCGGCGUGCCUAAUACAUGCAAGUCGAACGCAGUGGGGACGGGUUCGUAACACGUGGGUAACCUCCCAUCAGAGGGGAUAACACUUGGACACAGGUGCUAAACCGAUCCUACCGGAUGGACCCGCGGUGCAUUAGCUAGUUGGUGAGGUAACGGCCCACCAAGGCCACGCUGCAUAGCCGACCUGAGAGGGUGAUAGGCCACACUGGGACUGAGAACCGGCCCAGACUCCUACGGGAGGCAGCAGGAGGGAAUCUUCGGCAAUGGACGAAAGUCUGACCGAGCAACGCCGAGUGAGUGAAGAAGGUUUUCGGAUCGUAAAACUCUGUUGUGAGAGAAGCGGUAUCUAACCAGAAAGCCACGGCUAACUACGUGCCAGCCGCCGCGGUAAUUC
rnacentral:rRNA from 1 species